GGCUGGACUGGAUGACCCUUGGGGUCCCUUCCAGCUCUACACUUCUAUGAAUGCAGGGGCUGGAAAGGCACCUCAGAGGCCAGGGGAAAGACGGACGGCCUCAGCUGUAUGAUGGGGUGGGGUCCACCACUUGGGGGCUGCCACAGAGAAGACCCCCUCCCCAACUUCUGAGCCAGCCCUGCCUGACGUCCAGCGUCGUGGGACUGGGUUGCUUUGCUCCCAGAAUCAGCCGGCCUUUCUUGCGGGAAUGGAAAGCAAAGAAUUCCUGCGCCUGGAGGCAAAGAAACGAUGCUCUUUGGGUGUCCCCUGGAAAGGCUGCAAAGGUACAUCCCCUGCUCAUCUUCCUUACAGUGGUCCCAUCCAGGCCUGCGGAGCACCCACACCAAAACUGGCGUCAUGACGCUCAGAAUAUUUUCUGUCAGGGAAGCGUAAACAUUCCCCACCAGGGAGAUCAGGAGAGAUCCGGUAUUCUCCGUGUAUUAAGGACAUGAAGAAACUUGGCUCAGCUUCACAGAGGUCAGUUCUGGGAGAAUUCAGAGUUCAGGAGGACAAAGGAUGUCUGUGCAGGGGCUCUUCGCAAAGAUCGCCAUCUGCCGCCCAGCGGCUCUCCUCCUCGCCCUUCUCCUGAAGGCUCUGCAGGCUUGGACUGGCUGGGGCCGGUUUGCUCUCUGUGUGCAAGCUGUCCUGCUGCCCGGCUGCUCUUCCGGAGACGGGUGCCCCUACCUCUCACUCCAGCCAAAGCAGCCACCCCUCUGCCAA